AUGUUUCAAUGUUCUAGUUGCACUGUAUUCUUGUUUUCCCCAAGGCAAGUGAUGUGAUUCAACCAGAUCUUAUAACUUUCUUAUUAAGGUACCUAUUAAAACAGAUCUUUUAACAUCCCCAUUAAAGUAGCUAGAGGCAUGUAUGUUUCAAUUUUCUAGUUGCGCUGGAUUGUUUGUUCCCAUAAAUAGAGAUGAUGUAAUUACACCAGUGCUUAUGGCUUUCUUAUUAAGGUAGCUAGAGGCAUGUAUGUGUCAAUUUUCUAGUUGCACUGGAUUGUUUGUUCCCCAAAAUAGAGAUGAUAUAAUUAUACCAGUGCUUAUGACUUUCUUAUUAAGGUUGCUAGAGACAUGGAUGUUUCAUCUUUUUAGUUGCACUGGAUUGUUUGUUCCCCAAAUAGA